CGAAGUUCUCAUUUCCCGACUAUGGAAAUGGAACAGGAAAACAUGACUGUGAGUAAGCAGUUGAGUCCCGGUGCGGCUGCGUAGGGCUGCUCGGCCUGCCAUGGCUACGAGACCUGCAGUUACAGCCACCCCAUCCGGGGCUGCGCCAAGUCUGAGAGCCUGUCCGCCUUGCCCGCCCUGGGGCGCACCAGAGUUCAGGAGGACGCGCUCUCUCCAUGGGCCAGGCCCGGUGACAACUUCUGGACCAAAGGCCGGCGUGCUGCAGAACCCCCAGACCAUCGUGCACAUUCAGGACCCCGCAAGCCAGCGACUGAUGUGGAACAAGGCUCCGAAGAGCGUCCUUGACAUCAAGAUGAGAGAUGCCAGCCUGCUGCAGCGGUUCAAGGAGCUCUGCACAUACCUCAUGGAGAACAACAUGAUCGUGUAUGUGGAAAAUACAGUGCUAGAAGACCCUGCCAUUGCCAGCGAUGAAAGUUUUGGGGCAGUGAAGAAGUUCUGCACCUUCCGAGAAGAUUAUGAUGACAUUUCCAAUCAGAUCGACUUCAUCAUCUUCCUGAGGGGAGACGGGACGCUGCUGAGCGCUUCCUCACUCUUCCAGGGCAGUGUGCCUCCGGUCAUGGCCUUCCACCUGGGCGCCCUGGGCUUCCUGACCCCGUUCAGCUUUGAGAACUUUCAGUCCCAAGUUACUCAGGUGAUAGAGGGGAACGCAGCUGUUGUCUUCCGGAGCAGUCCUGGUUGA